rnacentral:rRNA from 1 species
GCAAUUAUACCGUGAAACUGCGAAUGGCUCAUUAAAUCAGUUAUCGUUUAUUUGAUAGUACCUUACUACUUGGAUAACCGUGGUAAUUCUAGAGCUAAUACAUGCUAAAAACCCCAACUUCGGGAGGGGUGUAUUUAUUAGAUAAAAAACCAACGCCCUUCGGGGCUUCUUGGUGAUUCAUGAUAACUUUACGGAUCGCAUGGCCUUGCGCCGGCGACGGUUCAUUCAAAUUUCUGCCCUAUCAACUUUCGAUGGUAAGGUAUUGGCUUACCAUGGUUUCAACGGGUAACGGGGAAUUAGGGUUCGAUUCCGGAGAGGGAGCCUGAGAAACGGCUACCACAUCCAAGGAAGGCAGCAGGCGCGCAAAUUACCCAAUCCCGACACGGGGAGGUAGUGACAAUAAAUACUGAUACAGGGCUCUUUUGGGUCUUGUAAUUGGAAUGAGUACAAUUUAAACCUCUUAACGAGGAACAAUUGGAGGGCAAGUCUGGUGCCAGCAGCCGCGGUAAUUCCAGCUCCAAUAGCGUAUAUUAAAGUUGUUGCAGUUAAAAAGCUCGUAGUUGAAACUUGGGUCUGGCUGGCAGGUCCGCCUCACCGCGUGUACUUGUCCGGCCGGGCCUUCCUUCUGGAGAACCUCAUGCCCUUCACUGGGCGUGUUGGGGACCAGGACUUUUACUUUGAAAAAAUUAGAGUGUUCAAAGCAGGCCUUUGCUCGAAUACGUUAGCAUGGAAUAAUAGAAUAGGACGUGCGGUCCUAUUUUGUUGGUUUCUAGGACCGCCGUAAUGAUUAAUAGGGACAGUCGGGGGCAUCAGUAUUCAAUUGUCAGAGGUGAAAUUCUUGGAUUUAUUGAAGACUAACUACUGCGAAAGCAUUUGCCAAGGAUGUUUUCAUUAAUCAGUGAACGAAAGUUAGGGGAUCGAAGACGAUCAGAUACCGUCGUAGUCUUAACCGUAAACUAUGCCGACUAGGGAUCGGGCGAUGUUCUUUUUCUGACUCGCUCGGCACCUUACGAGAAAUCAAAG